rnacentral:rRNA from 1 species
AACGACUCUCGGCAACGGAUAUCUCGGCUCUUGCAUCGAUGAAGAACGYAGCGAAAUGCGAUGCUUGGUGUGAAUUGCAGAAUCCCGCGAACCAUCAAUUCUUUGAACGCAAGUUGCGCCCGAAGCCAUCCGGCCGAGGGCACGCCUGCCUGGGUUUCGUGA